rnacentral:rRNA from 1 species
CCAUACGCUCCUUUGGGGGCUCCCUGAGGGAGGAAAGGGUCUGUGGAGGGAUCUGCCCUGGGAGGGGGCGGUGGCCCAUCAGGUAGUUGGUGGGGUAACGGCCCACCAAGCCUAAGACGGGUAGCCGGCGUGAGAGCGCGGCCGGCCCGAGGGGCACUGAGACACGGGCCCCACUCCUACGGGAGGCAGCAGGCUGGAAAUGUGGGCAAUGGGGGAAACCCUGACCCCGCGACGCUGCGUGCGGGAAGAAGCCCUUCGGGGUGUAAACCGCUUUUGCGGGGGACGAAGGACUGACGGUACCCCGCGAAUAAGCCACGGCUAACCUCGUGCCAGCAGCCGCGGUAAGACGGGGGUGGCGAGCGUUGCCCGGAAUUACUGGGCUUAAAGGGGGUGUAGGCGGCUGGGUGUGUCGGGCGUGUAAUCUUGGGGCUCAACCCCGAGGCUGCGCCCGAAACUACCUGGCUAGAGGGCGCCAGGGGGAGGCGGAACUCCCGGUGUAGCGGUGAAAUGCGUAGAUAUCGGGGGGAACACCGGAGGCGAAGGCGGCCUCCUGGGGCGCACCUGACGCUGAGGCCCGAAGGCUGGGGGAGCAAAGGGGAUUAGAUACCCCCGUAGUCCCAGCAGUAAACGAUGUGGGCUAGCGGUCUGGUCUUGAGGCUGGGUCGCGAAGGGAAACCGAUAAGCCCACCGCCUGGGGAGUACGCCCGCAAGGGUGAAACUCAAAGGAAUAGACGGGAGCCCGCACAAGCGGCGGAGCGCGUGGUUUAAUUCGAUGCUGACCGAAGAACCUCACCCGGGCUUGACAUCCCGCCGUCAAGCCUGCCCGAAAGGGUAGGUGAGCCUACCGGUGAGGUAGGCAGGCGGGACAGGAGCUGCACGGCUGUCGUCAGCUCGUGUCGUGAGAUGUUGGGUUAAGUCCCGCAACGAGCGCAACCCCUGCCCAUAGUUGCCAGCGGGUUGCCCACGGAAGUGGGCGAUGCUGGGGACUCUAUGGGGACUGCCGGCGAGGAGCCGGAGGAAGGAGGGGACGACGUCAAGUCCGUGUGGCCCUUAUGUCCGGGGCUACACACGCGCUACAAUGGGCGGUACAGAGGGAAGCGACCCUGAGAGGGGGAGCAAAUCCCUAAAACCGCCCCCAGUUCGGAUUGCAGGCUGAAACCCGCCUGCAUGAAGGAGGAGUCGCUAGUAAUCACCUAUCAGCUAUGGGGUGGUGAAUACGUUCCCGGGCUCUGUACUCACCGCCCGUCACGCCAUGGGAGCCGGGGGUGCCUGAAGCCCCACCGAGGGUGGGGUGAAGGCAAACUCGGUGACUGGGGCGAAGUCGUAACAAGGUAGCCGUACGGGAACGUGCGGCUG